rnacentral:rRNA from 1 species
UACGUAGGGGGCGAGCGUUGUCCGGAUUCAUUGGGCGUAAAGAGCUCGUAGGCGGCUUGGUAAGUCAAAUGUGAAACCUCCAGGCUCAACUUGGAGAUGCCACUUGAUACUGCCAUGGCUAGAGUCCGGUAGGGGAUCACGGAAUUCCUGGUGUAGCGGUGAAAUGCGCAGAUAUCAGGAGGAACACCGGUGGUGUAGACGGCUUUCUGGACCGUAACUGACGCUGAGACACGAAAGCGUGGGUAGCAAACAGG